rnacentral:rRNA from 1 species
AGUUGUUUGGGAAUGCAGCUCUAAAUGGGAGGUAAAUUUCUUCUAAAGCUAAAUACUGGCCAGAGACCGAUAGCGCACAAGUAGAGUGAUCGAAAGAUGAAAAGCACUUUGGAAAGAGAGUUAAAAAGCACGUGAAAUUGUUGAAAGGGAAGCGCUUGCAGCCAGACUUGCCUGUAGUUGCUCA